rnacentral:rRNA from 1 species
UACGGGGGGGGCAAGCGUUGUUCGGAAUUACUGGGCGUAAAGGGCUUGUAGGUGGCCAACUAAGUCAGACGUGAAAUCCCUCGGCUUAACCGGGGAACUGCGUCUGAUACUGGAUGGCUCGAGUUCGGGAGAGGGAAGUGGAAUUCCAGGUGUAGCGGUGAAAUGCGUAGAUAUCUGGAGGAACACCGGUGGCGAAGGCGGCAUUCUGGACCGACAUUGACGCUGAGGAGCGAAAGCCAGGGGAGCAAACGGG